GAGUUUGAUCUUGGCUCAGAUUGAACGCUGGCGGCAUGCCUUACACAUGCAAGUCGAACGGCAGCAUGAUCUAGCUUGCUAGAUUGAUGGCGAGUGGCGAACGGGUGAGUAAUACAUCGGAACGUGCCCUGUAGUGGGGGAUAACUAGUCGAAAGAUUAGCUAAAUACCGGCAUACGACCUGAGGGUGAAAGUUGGGGGUACCGCGAAGGCCUCAUGCUAUAGGAGCGGCCGAUGUCUGAUUAGCUAGUUGGUGGGGUAAAGGCCCGACCAAGGCGAC
rnacentral:rRNA from 1 species